GGGACAUGGAGGGAGACAGAGGCAGAGAUGGGGGAGAGAGGCAGAGAGACAGAGACGAGAGGAGGAGGACACAGAGAGACAGGGAGAAUGACAGAGACAGAGACACAGAGAGAGACACAGGUGAGAGAGGCAGAGAGACAGAGACGAGAGGAGGAGGACACAGAGAUAGAGGGAUACAGAGACAGGGAGAUGAGAGAGAGACAGAGACAAGAAGAGGAGGACACAGAGAUAGAGGGAUACAGAGACAGGGAGAUGAGAGAGACAGAGACAGAGAGAGACACAGAUGAAAGAGGCAGAGAGACAGAGACGAGAGGAGGAGGACACAGAGAUAGACAGGGAGAUGACAGAGACAGAGAGACACAGAGACACAGAUGAAAUAGGCAGAGAGAAAGAGACGAGAGGAGGAGGACACAGAGAUAGAGAGAGACAGAGACAGGGAGAUGACAGAGACAGAGACAGAGAGAGACACAGAUGAGAGAGGCAGAGAGAAAGAUGAGAGGAAGAGGACAAAGAGAUAGAGAGACAGGGAGACGACAGAGACAGAGAGAGAUACAGAUGACAGAGACAGAGAUGAGAGGAGGAGGACACAGAGAUAGAUAGAGACAGGGAGAUGACAGACAGAGAAAGGGGCAUGACAGAGACAGAAACACAGAGAGAGACACAGAGAUGAGAAAGGCAGAGAUGAGAGGAGGAGGACACAGAGAUAGGGAGAUGACAGAGACAGAGACAGAGAGAGACAAAGAUGAGAGAGGCAGAGAGACAGAUGAGAGGAGGACACAGAGAUAGAGGGAUAGAGAGACAGGGAGAUGACAGAGACAGAGACAGAGAGAGACAAAGAUGAGAGAGGCAGAGAGACAGAUGAGAGGAGGACACAGAGAUAGAGGGAUAGAGAGACAGGGAGAUGACAGAGACAGAGACAGAGAGAGACAAAGAUG
rnacentral:lncRNA from 1 species